AUUCACAGAUGUUUAAUUUGUAAUUUUGGAGAUUUACAUAUUCAGCUUAGAGAGGAUGUUUCAGUCGUCGUCGACCUUGAAUAUGGCUAACAGACCAGGAAGAGUGGCAUAUAGAUUUCUGUAACUCUAUACUCUAUACUCUAUAUAUUUUAUUGUUAUCACAGAUGAAGCUAAAUCUACUGUUCUUUCUGUGACAUGUUUUUCAUGGUGUUGGGAAUAAACUUUGGGGUCUAAUACAUCUAAAAGGAAGGUUAACAUCACAGCUUGUCCGUAAGGAUUGAGGUUGGGAAUGGCCAUUGGAGCUGACUUUUUUGGUUACUUUAACUGUGGCUGUAUGAAAAUGAUUGGGUGACUGUACCAGUAAAGAUUUAAUUCAGACAAUUUUUUUGUAUGUUU